UCCUCCGCUCCCUCCCGCUCCGCCUCCGCCUUGCCAUUCCCCGCCCCGCCUCCCCACCCUCCUUCCCCGCGCCUUCCCCGGCAACAACGGCAACGACGACGACAGUGGCAACAACAGCGGCGGCGGCGGGGAUGGCGGCGGCGAGUGGGGCGACCACCGGGGGGAGGAGCUGUUCGUGCUGGCACAGGCGGGGAGCAAGCUCUCCAGCCCGCCGGCCGACCUCGCCGCGGCCGUGGAGGGCGGCCGCGUCACGGGCGACAUGGUGAGAUGGUUCGCGGAGAUGGAGCGCUCGCCGCUGCUCCGCUGGCUGCUGGGCUUCAGAGGGUUCAGGGAGCGCCUCCUCGCCGACGACCUCUUCCUGGCCAAGCUCGCCAUGGAGAUGGGCGUCGGCAUGAUCGCCAAGGUCCGUGGGAUCGACAUGGAUGAAUCAUGAAUGCUUUCAACUUAUUCUUAUCUUAUCCUCCUUUGAUUUUCAGAAGGAGAAAAAUUAAAUCGCGUUUUAAUUUGUCUGACCCUUUUUUGUUGCUGCUCUGUUUGUUUCACACCGUUGCCGAGUAUGAGAAGAGAUGGGAGAACUUCGUCAAAGAAAUUGACAUCGUCAUCGCUGAUGUUGUACGCCUCUUGUCGACUGCUAUUGAAGACGGGCAAUCUGUACAUAUGUUGAUAUAUAACCCUGACAUUUUAAAUCACAUACAGAUUUGAUAGCAGAAAAAACUCUUUGUUAUUGCAAUGUAAAGUGCAUCUUAUAUCUGAAUUUGAUAUAUUUUUCCUUUUUAGUUGUCGCCACCGACCCCGCCAAAGCUGUCAUGGUCCUCCGUAACGGACCAUACAGCGGCAUACACACACACAACCUAUUUUCAUCAUGUUUAUUCAAGAGAGAAUUUUGUUACACGUUAUUCAUCAUCUUGUCAUAAUUGUAGUCUGACCAUAAUGUACAACAAGUGGCCCAGAUCGGAAUGUUCUUAUGAUAUUACUGUUCAAUAGAGGAACUAAUGUGAUUCUGGUGUGAUUCAUAAUUGUGGAAAGUUUUCUUUGUGGGGUAGGGUCGUCAUUCAAGGGAUAGACUUUCCCUUCAGGUUAUGGUCUUCUUUCUCUCAAGGAGAUGGUGAUAGUAAGGGGGGAGCGCAAGAUGCUGCUGAUGGAGUCAACAAUGAUAUUGGCAAGGAUGAAUUUUAACUUGAUGACGGACUAGAGAAGGAAGUAUGUCAGAGAUAUGCAUGUUAGCCCUUAAGCAUAUCAGAAUACAAUCAUUCAGCACAUAAUUAGUCAGUUAUAUAUUCUACUCAUGCCCCCAACAAGGCAACAAUCGACCAGGGACCAAGCAAUAUGUGAGAUUGACAAGGAAAAGAACACUUGAGGAUCGAUACCUUUUGUUGGGUGGCAACUCUGAAGGAUGCUCUAGCUAGCUAGCUUCUGUAACAGUGAGUCUUGUUGGCCGAUUUGGCAUUCGCCUGUAUGCUGUCUGUACCAAUUCUACCCUUUCCCCUCAACCCAGCAUGCCACACCCAUGCCUCUGAUAGCUCUUAAGCUAUUUAUAGGUGUCUUAACUCACUUUUGUGCAUUCAUUGCUCUUAUCCACAUGAUACUAUAUGCUUUACUUUUCAUCAGCUGUCUUUGUGAAUCUUUCCCCGGUACUGAAAUUCAGAGCUGAUUCAGUGAAUGUUUGCUCGCUACUCCAAUUCAUAAGCUCGCACAUAGAUCGUUGUUCUUUUUUAGACAGUUUUUCUGUCGUGUAUGUGUCAGAGAAGUUAUAGUGCUAUUGAUAUAAAAUGAAAAGUUUAUAUUUAGCAAGAAACAGCAGCAAUAUUCUCCUUUAGUGUACCACUUAGUUUCCUCAGGGUAUAAUACAAUUUGGUGACUAUACAACUAUAUAUGCUGAGACAAAUAGGGAAAGUAGAGAAAAACGGCGACGUUUGUUGCUACCCAGUGAAAAACUGCACUUGACAGGUGUGUUUACCAAAUAGAAGUUCACUUGAUUGAUAAUACCAUAUGUUCCAUUUUAUUCCCUAGGUAACUCACGGCACCUAACUAGUCUCUACAAUGUAUAGGACUGAGUAUAUUAUUAAUGAUUGCUCAAAACUUAACUUGCUAGUCUUAGUGUGGCAGCUUGUUCUGUAUACACGCAGUAUUUAUGCAGUACAUCUCUCUUCUUGUCUGUACUGUUCUUUUAUUUAAAUAAUGGGCUCUCUACUACCUGGAAUUAUCGAUGCUUUUUUGUGUACUGUUCUACAGUCUAAAUAUUGUCU